CUUUCGCCCUCUUCUGCUGUUUCUUCUUCUGCUGCUGCCUUCUGAGGAGGCAGAAUAAUAUGAUAAUUCAAUGAGGCUCCCUUAUGGUUCAGACAUUGUAGCACUCAGUCUGAGGAUUCCUGGAGACAGGAUCGCCCAUUUGGUUUGGUAGAGGGAGAGACUGGUGUUUCCUGCAAAGACAUGGCUAAUAUUAGAAAAGCAGGACCUAGACAGCUCUGUACAGAGCUGUGCAUAGUAUGAAAAGGAUGCUAAAUACUAAGAAGCAAGAGUGUGACAGCUCCUCGAAAAGCAAGCAACCAGAUCUUCAGAUAUAAGUGUAAAAAAAAUAGAAGUGAGGAGGUGUUGCAGCAGGAGGUGAGACUGUCUCCUGUGUAAGAUCCUCCAAGCCAUAGAUCACACACCUACCGUGGUGGUGUCUUACCAGUGUCUCCACAUCAAAGUAAAGCUCAGAAACAUUACAUGUCAUAUUAACCUUCAGGAAAUCAACUUUCAGUGUUUCUAGGUUCAUAGCCUCACACCUAGGAGAAACAGAAGACGGGGCUUUCCUCAGUGUUGUAUUCCAGUCAGCAGUAUAUGCCCUGACCCCUUCUUUUGGGUGUUCAUGCAAGACUUACCUGCUCAAAGUAUUUUUCACACCCUGUGAAUAAACAAAAGCAGGGGAUUGUAUUUACAUUAGGUCUCAUGGAGUUUUCCACAUGAAGCUACUUUCUGAAAAAACUCUCACAGAAGGAAUAAGAAUCACCUACCGCCCCAUAAGAUGGACACCGAGGGGUGUUUUACAUCCAGUCUCUGGCCAAUAAAGUAGGAGCCUGCUUCUCUAUUGUAGAAGCUUGUUGACCUGUAAGACCUACAGUGUGGACUUCUUGGAAUUCGAAUUAAUGUCUUUGCUCAUCCUUCCUCUGGCAAGACUGCUUUCGGUGACUAAAUCUCCUUCAUAGAGAAUUCUCAUUAGAGAUAACUAGUAACACAAGUCUCUAGUGAUCCAUGCACAGCUCCUGAGGCUGGGCCACUGAAAUGGAAAAGAAGCUAUCGUAGUGGAGUGGAGCUAGGUGCACCAUUCUUAACCUCAUGCUGUAACCAGCAGCCCCAGC
rnacentral:lncRNA from 1 species